rnacentral:lncRNA from 1 species
UUGAGGCCAUCCUGGAAGUAGAAGAGAGAAUCCUUGUCGGACAUGUCACUUAUCUACAACAUUAGGGUAGUAAACUCGUUGAUGUAAUCCCGCAUACAACCCGACUGUUUGAGGCGACGUAAGCGCACUUGUGCUUCCUUUUCCGCAUUACUUUGGUCGAAUUGCUUUCGAGUUCUUGCUUGAAGUCGGCCCAAGUGUUGAUGGUGCAGAUUCCCUUGCCCAUCUCUCCAUGCUUCUGACGCCACCAUAGUUGUGCAGCGCCUCUAAGAUAAGUGGGUGCAGCGCCCACUUUUGAUGCCU